AAAUUUGAAAAAUUAAAGUUCGAACUUCAGAUGUUGCAAAUCUCUUGAGAAUCAAACUGGCACCAUGACUUGGGUUUAUACUGCUUCAUGCAAAAUCUUUUGACUAAUGCUAUGUGGAUUGAUUUGGUGGAUAAUGGGUUGAUGGAUUGAAAGGAAUGAAAUUGAAAGUAGUUGCUUCA